rnacentral:rRNA from 1 species
ACGGCCACAUCACGUUGAAACGCCAGAUUCCGUACGAUCACAAAAGUUAAGCAACGUCGAGCCUGGUCAGUACCUAGAUGGCUGACUGCUGGGGAAU